GACGCUGUGCCUAAUGGUUAACGCGUUGGACUCCAGAUCGAGCGGUUCCGGGUUCGAGCCUGGCCGGCGUCA